rfam:Vibrio furnissii NCTC 11218 chromosome 2, complete sequence.
CCCGAGUCAGCUCUGACAAUUGUUUGCGAUGAAACAUUGGACAGAGC